rnacentral:sRNA from 1 species
CGAGAGUGCCCUUCCAAGCCGCGAAGGUCAGGUCUUAGACAAACCCGAUCAUCGCAGCCUAGAAGGGCACUCUCGUCAUCUACACGCCAACUCGGACGCCUGUUGCAAG